UAGGGAAUCUUCCACAAUGGACGCAAGUCUGAUGGAGCAACGCCGCGUGAGUGAAGAAGGCUUUUCGGGUCGUAAAACUCUGUUAUUGAAGAAGAACGUGCGUGACAGUAACUGGUCAUGCAGUGACGGUAUUCAAUGCAGAAAGUCACGGCUAACUACGUGCCAGCAGCCGCGGUAAUACGUAGGUGGCAAGCGUUGUCCGGAUUUAUUGGGCGUAAAGCGAGUGCAGGCGGUC
rnacentral:rRNA from 1 species